AACGCGAAGAACCUUACCUGGGCUCGAAAUGCAGAGGAAGAUACCAGAAAUGGUCUCGUCCGCAAGGACUUCUGUAUAGGUGCUGCAUGGCUGUCGUCAGCUCGUGCCGUGAGGUGUUUGGUUAAGUCCAGCAACGAGCGCAACCCUUAUCAUUAGUUGCCAACACGUAAGGUGGGGACUCUAAUGAGACUGCCUAGGUUAACUAGGAGGAAGGCGAGGAUGACGUCAAGUCCGCAUGGCCUUUAUGUCCAGGGCUACACACGUGCUACUAUGGUCGGUACAAACCGUCGCAAACCCGUGAGGGGGAGCUAAUCGGAAAAAGCCGGCCUCAGUUCGGAUUGGAGUCUGCAACUCGACUCCAUGAAGCUGGAAUCGCUAGUAAUCGCGGAUCAGAACGCCGCGGUGAAUACGUUCCCGGGCCUUGUACACACCGACGCGUA
rnacentral:rRNA from 1 species